rnacentral:rRNA from 2 species
CCUGGUGAAAUUAGCGCUGUGGAACCACCCGAUCCCAUCCCGAACUCGGAAGUGAAACGCAGCUGCGCCGAUGGUAGUGUGGCUCAAGCCAUGCGA